rnacentral:rRNA from 1 species
UACGGGGGGGGGCAAGCGUUGUUCGGAAUUACUGGGCGUAAAGGGCUCGUAGGCGGCCAACUAAGUCAGACGUGAAAUCCCUCGGCUUAACCGGGGAACUGCGUCUGAUACUGGAUGGCUUGAGGUUGGGAGAGGGAUGCGGAAUUCCAGGUGUAGCGGUGAAAUGCGUAGAUAUCUGGAGGAACACCGGUGGCGAAGGCGGCAUCCUGGACCAAAUCUGACGCUGAGGAGCGAAAGCCAGGGGAGCAAAACGGGG